rnacentral:rRNA from 1 species
UGGGGAAUAUUGCACAAUGGGCGCAAGCCUGAUGCAGCCAUGCCGCGUGUAUGAAGAAGGCCUUCGGGUUGUAAAGUACUUUCAGCGGGGAGGAAGGGAGUAAAGUUAAUACCUUUGCUCAUUGACGUUACCCGCAGAAGAAGCACCGGCUAACUCCGUGCCAGCAGCCGCGGUAAUACGGAGGGUGCAAGCGUUAAUCGGAAUUACUGGGCGUAAAGCGCACGCAGGCGGUUGAUUGAGUCAGAUGUGAAAUCCCCGGGCUUAACCCGGGAAUUGCAUCUGAUACUGGUCAGCUAGAGUCUUGUAGAGGGGGGUAGAAUUCCAUGUGUAGCGGUGAAAUGCGUAGAGAUGUGGAGGAAUACCGGUGGCGAAGGCGGACCCCUGGACAAAGACUGACGCUCAGGUGCGAAAGCGUGGGGAGCAAACAGG